CAUAACUUUCAGGAAAUGUCUCAUCGAGUUAAUCACCCUGACUUUCUGGGAAAAUGAAAGAACCAGAGCAGGAAAGAUGUCUUCUGUGAUUCAUCAGCAUGUAAUUUAAAGAAGUUCUAUCCAUUGACAGGGUCUGGGUACAGUGACACUUCAGAACCGAAGAGCAUUCCAAAUGCCCACAUCUGGGUUCCUAAAUGCAAUUCUCUGCUAAAAGGAAUGAGAUCUCCUUGCAGAAAUAACUGACUUCAGAGCUAAAGCAGGGAUAAUCAAAGGUAUCCUUCUAGUUUCCACUGACAAGUGACAAGAAAUAUUAAUUAUAACCCAGUUACUGUACCUAUGUGAUCGUUAUAAAAUGCUGCGGAGUAUGCCAGUGGGUUAAGGUAACCAUGAUGCUAGAAAAAAAUAAGCAAAUACUAGAUUUAUCAGUGCUUAAAGUCCUUUGGCCAUUUCUGUCAAC